UCGGAUAUGGUGUAAAGGCUAACAUUGCCGCCUCUCAUGGAGCUGGAUAUUUCAUGCGCGGCAGCUCGGGGUUUGAUUCCUCGUAUCCGAA